rnacentral:rRNA from 1 species
UACGGAGGGUGCAAGCGUUAUCCGGAUUCACUGGGUUUAAAGGGUGCGUAGGCGGGUUAGUAAGUCCGUGGUGAAAUCCCCAGCUUAACUUGGGAACUGCCGUGGAUACUAUCAAUCUUGAAUAUCGUGGAGGUAAGCGGAAUAUGUCAUGUAGCGGUGAAAUGCUUAGAUAUGACAUAGAACACCAAUUGCGUAGGCAGCUUACUACACGAUCAUUGACGCUGAGGCACGAAAGCGUGGGGAGCAAACAGG